UUGCUACGGCUGCAAAUAUACUAAAAUUGGAUCAAUACAGAGAUGAUUCGCAUGGCCCCUGCGAAAUGCCGACACGCAAAUCCGUGAAGCGGUUAAGGAAGUG
ensembl:snRNA U6 U6 spliceosomal RNA